UACGUAGGGUGCGAGCGUUGUCCGGAAUUACUGGGCGUAAAGAGCUCGUAGGUGGUUUGUCGCGUUGUUCGUGAAAACUCACAGCUUAACUGUGGGCGUGCGGGCGAUACGGGCAGACUUGAGUACUGCAGGGGAGACUGGAAUUCCUGGUGUAGCGGUGGAAUGCGCAGAUAUCAGGAGGAACACCGGUGGCGAAGGCGGGUCUCUGGGCAGUAACUGACGCUGAGGAGCGAAAGCGUGGGGAGCAAACAGG
rnacentral:rRNA from 1 species